rnacentral:tRNA from 10 species
GGGCCUAUAGCUCAGCUGGUUAGAGCGCACGCCUGAUAAGCGUGAGGUCGAUGGUUCGAGUCCAUUUAGGCCC